CCUACGGGAGGCAGCAGUGGGGAAUAUUGGACAAUGGGCGAAAGCCUGAUCCAGCAAUGCCGCGUGAGUGAAGAAGGCCUUAGGGUUGUAAAGCUCUUUCGCCUGCGACGAUGAUGACGGUAGCAGGAGAAGAAGCCCCGGCUAAUUCCGUGCCAGCAGCCGCGGUAAUACGGAAGGGGCUAGCGUUGUUCGGAACCACUGGGCGUAAAGCGCGCGUAGGCGGCUUGGCAAGUGAGGCGUGAAAGUCCUGGGCUCAACCUGGGGACUGCGCUUCAGACUGCUUGGCUUGAGUCCGGAAGAGGGUGGUGGAAUUCCGAGUGUAGAGGUGAAAUUCGUAGAUAUUCGGAGGAACACCGGCGGCGAAGGCGGCCACCUGGUCCGGAACUGACGCUCAAGUGCGGAAGCGUGGGGAGCAAACAGGAUUAGAUACCCUGGUAGUCCACGCCGUAAACGAUGGGUGCUGGAUGUCGGGGGGCUUGCCCUUCGGUGUCGUAGCUAACGCGUUAAGCACCCCGCCUGGGGAGUACGGCCGCAAGGUUAAAACUCAAAGGAAUUGACGG
rnacentral:rRNA from 1 species